GGGUCAAUGAUGAGAACUAUGUAUUGUCUUGAAGAGAAGUAAUGACUAAGAAAUCAUUCUCAAUAAGGUUAUGUUGAGGCCA
rnacentral:snoRNA from 1 species